ACUCCUACGGGAGGCAGCAGUGGGGAAUCUUGGACAAUGGGACGCAAGCCUGAUCCAGCCAUGCCGCGUGAGUGAUGAAGGCCCUAGGGUCGUAAAGCUCUUUCGCCAGAGAUGAUAAUGACAGUAUCUGGUAAAGAAACCCCGGCUAACUCCGUGCCAGCAGCCGCGGUAAUACGGAGGGGGUUAGCGUUGUUCGGAAUUACUGGGGCGUAAAGCGCGCGUAGGCGGAUUAGUCAGUCAGAGGUGAAAUCCCAGGGGCUCAACCCUGGAACUGCCUUUGAUACUGCUAGUCUUGAGUUCGAGAGAGGUGAGUGGAAUUCCGAGUGUAGAGGUGAAAUUCGUAGAUAUUCGGAGGAACACCAGUGGCGAAGGCGGCUCACUGGCUCGAUACUGACGCUGAGGUGCGAAAGUGU
rnacentral:rRNA from 1 species